AGAGUUUGAUCAUGGCUCAGAAUGAACGUUGGCGGCGUGCCUAACACAUGCAAGUCGAGCGUGAAAGUCCUUCGGGAUGAGUAAAGCGGCGGACGGGUGAGUAACGCGUGAGAAUCUACCCUUCAAUGAGGAAUACCUUUGGGAAACUGAAGUUAAUACUGCAUACGUCUCGUAAGAGAGAAAGAUGGCCUAAUUGCUGUCGUUGAAGGAUGAGCUUGCGUUCUAUUAGCUAGUUGGUGAGGUAAAGGCUCACCAAGGCGAUGAUGGAUAGCCGGCCUGAGAGGGUGUACGGCCACAUUGGAACUUAGACACGGUCCAAACUCCUACGGGAGGCAGCAGUGAGGAAUAUUGCACAAUGGGCGAAAGCCUGAUGCAGCGACGCCGCGUGGAGGAUGAAGGUUUUCGGAUUGUAAACUCCUGUUAAGUGGGAAAAAAGACUUGCUUUUAAUAGAAGCGAGGGAUGAUGGUACCACUAAAGAAAGCACCGGCUAACUUCGUGCCAGCAGCCGCGGUAAUACGAGGGGUGCAAACGUUAUUCGGAAUCAUUGGGCGUAAAGGGUACGUAGACGGCGAAAUAAGUCAGUCAUUAAAUCUUCUAGCUCAACUAGAAAUCUGUGACUGAAACUGAUUUGCUUGAGGAUGGAAGAGAGAAGCGGAAUUCUCGGGGUAGCGGUAAAAUGCGUAGAUCUCGAGAGGAACACCGAUGGCGAAGGCAGCUUCUUGGUCCAUAUCUGACGUUGAGGUACGAAAGCGUGGGGAGCAAACAGGAUUAGAUACCCUGGUAGUCCACGCUGUAAACGAUGAUCACUAGAUGUUAGACUCGUUUAAGAGUUUAGUGUCGCAGCUAACGCAUUAAGUGAUCCGCCUGGGAAGUACGGUCGCAAGAUUAAAACUCAAAGGAAUUGACGG
rnacentral:rRNA from 1 species